rnacentral:misc_RNA from 1 species
AGCAUCCCCAAGAGUGCAACAAUCUGUUGAUGGCAUAAGUUCAAUAAUUCACUAAACAAGAAAGAAAAAUUCAUCACUCGUGGAUUUAAAGAAUUAACAGAACAAAAAUAUGGCCUACCAUCUGAUCAAAACAUUCCCUAUGUUACAUUAUUCCGGAUGUUUCAGUGUAUGACCAAGAGAAAUUUACAAUUUCAAAUAGGGAAGCCCAAAAAUUAGAAAUUAUAAGGCUCUAAAUUUAGAUGUGAGGUAAGAUUCAGCACUUAACACAAAAUAAGAAUAAAAUUAGGACUAACAGAAUAUGAACAUUGUGCCUGAACAGUACACAGUUGGCAGAUUUGAAGAAGUUAGGGUUUAAGCCUCAGAGAUUCACUAAGAUCUACUGAAAGUCUGGAAGUCUCGCAGAAGAGAAGUUUAAGUGUUUCACCAUUAAAAGAUAGCAAACUUGAUAAGAGAUUUUAACAUGCUGCUGCUUACACAGAUGGCAAACUUGAAGAAGUUAGGGUUUAAACAUCAGAGAUUCACUAAGAUUUGCUGAAAGUCUGGAAGUCUCACAGAGGAAGAAAUUUAAGUAUUUAACCAUUAAAAUAUUGCAAACAUGAUAAGAGAUUUUAACACACUGCUGCUUGAUCUCAUGCUGGAAAAUAUAACUGUUCAAUUUCCCAAGCAGUAGCCACAAGCACAAACUCCACUAAGGAUAUCGAUGUUAAAAUAACACUAUCAGCCUUUCAAACAGUAAUCUGAAGACAACUUAAGAAAGACCAAGUGAUGCAU